rnacentral:rRNA from 1 species
AGAGUUUGAUCAUGGCUCAGGAUGAACGCUGGCGGCGUGCGUAACACAUGCAAAGUUGGACGACGGUGUCAUGAAGUGGUAACACGGAAUGGCAUACGGAGUAGCGGACGGGUGAGUACAACAUGAGAAGCUGUCCUUCAGUGGGGGACAACGUCUGGAAGCGGACGCUAAUACCCCAUAGGCCGAGAGGUUAAAGCAGAGAUGCGCUGGAGGAGGUGCUCGUGCCCUAUCAGCUAGUUGGUGAGGUAACGGCUCACCAAGGCGACGACGGGUAGCCGGCCUGAGAGGGUGACCGGCCACACUGGAACUGAGACACGGUCCAGACUCCUACGGGAGGCAGCAGUGGGGAAUAUUGGGCAAUGGGAGGAAUCCUGACCCAGCCACYGCCGCGUGAACGAAGACGGCCUUCGGGUUGUAAAGUUCUUUUAUGUGGGAAGAAUUAAGUGACGGUACCACAUGAAUAAGCCCCGGCUAACUACGUGCCAGCAGCCGCGGU